rnacentral:rRNA from 1 species
AGUGAACGCUGGCGGUAGGCCUAACACAUGCAAGUCGAACGGCAGCACAGUAAGAGCUUGCUCUUACGGGUGGCGAGUGGCGGACGGGUGAGGAAUACAUCGGAAUCUACUUUUUCGUGGGGGAUAACGUAGGGAAACUUACGCUAAUACCGCAUACGACCUACGGGUGAAAGCAGGGGAUCUUCGGACCUUGCGCGAUUGAAUGAGCCGAUGUCGGAUUAGCUAGUUGGCGGGGUAAAGGCCCACCAAGGCGACGAUCCGUAGCUGGUCUGAGAGGAUGAUCAGCCACACUGGAACUGAGACACGGUCCAGACUCCUACGGGAGGCCGCAGUGGGGAAUAUUGGACCAUGGGCGCAAGCCUGAUCCAGCCAUACCGCGUGGGUGAAGAAGGCCUUCGGGUUGUAAAGCCCUUUUGUUGGGAAAGAAAAGCAGCAGGUUAAUACCCCGCUGUUCUGACGGUACCCAAAGAAUAAGCACCGGCUAACUUCGUG